rnacentral:rRNA from 1 species
AUUGAACGCUGGCGGCAGGCUUAACACAUGCAAGUCGAACGAGUGGCGGACGGGUGAGUAAUAUUUGGGAACGUACCUAAUUGCGGGGGAUAACUACGGGAAACAGUGGCUAAUACCGCAUACUAUAGGAUCAGCCGAUGUCGGAUUAGCUAGUUGGUGGGGUAAAGGCUCACCAAGCCGACGAUCCCUAGCUGGUGUGAGAGGAUGACCAGCCACACUGCGACUGAGACACGGACCAGACUCCUACGGGAGGCAGCAGUGGGGAAUUUUGGGCCAUGGGGGAAACCCUGAUACAGCCAUGCAGCGUGUAUGAAGAAGGCCUUCGGGUUGUAAAGUACUUUUGGUAGGGAGGCGUUAACUGCAGAAGAAGCACCGGCUAACUACGUGCCAGCAGCCGCGGUAAUAC